GUGGGGAAUUUUGGACAAUGGGGGCAACCCUGAUCCAGCAAUGCCGCGUGCAGGAAGAAGGCCUUCGGGUUGUAAACUGCUUUUGUACGGAACGAAACGGUCCUGGUUAAUACCUGGGGCUAAUGACGGUACCGUAAGAAUAAGCACCGGCUAACUACGUGCCAGCAGCCGCGGUAAUACGUAGGGUGCAAGCGUUAAUCGGAAUUACUGGGCGUAAAGCGUGCGCAGGCGGUUUUGUAAGACAGGCGUGAAAUCCCCGGGCUCAACCUGGGAAUGGCGCUUGUGACUGCAAGGCAGGAGUGCGGCAGAGGGGGAUGGAAUUCCGCGUGUAGCAGUGAAAUGCGUAGAUAUGCGGAGGAACACCGAUGGCGAAGGCAAUCCCCUGGGCCUGCACUGACGCUCAUGCACGAAAGCGUGGGGAGCAAACAGGAUUAGAUACCCCGGUAGUCC
rnacentral:rRNA from 1 species